rnacentral:rRNA from 1 species
UACGUAGGGUGCGAGCGUUAAUCGGAUUUACUGGGCGUAAAGCGUGCGCAGGCGGCCCGUUAAGACAGGUGUGAAAUCCCUGGGCUCAACCUAGGAAUUGCGCUUGGUACUGGCGGGCUCGAGUGCGGUAGAGGGGGGUGGAAUUCCUGGUGUAGCAGUGAAAUGCGUAGAGAUCAGGAGGAACACCGAUGGCGAAGGCAGCCCCCUGGGCCUGUACUGACGCUCAUGCACGAAAGCGUGGGGAGCAAACAGG